UACGUAGGGGGCUCGCGUUGUCCGGAUUUCUUGGGCGUAAAGAGCGUGUAGGCGGCCAUGUAGGUCCGGUGUGAAAACUCGAGGCUUAACCUCGAGAUGUCAUCGGAAACCAUUUGGCUAGAGUCCGGAAGAGGAGAGUGGAAUUCCUGGUGUAGCGGUGAAAUGCGCAGAUAUCAGGAAGAACACCAAUGGCGAAAGCAGCUCUCUGGGACGGUACUGACGCUGAGACGCGAAAGCGUGGGGAGCGAACAGG
rnacentral:rRNA from 1 species